rnacentral:rRNA from 1 species
GAUGAACGCUGGCGGCGUGCCUAAUACAUGCAAGUCGAGCGGACAGACGAUGAGCUUGCUCCUCUGACGUUAGCGGCGGACGGGUGAGUAACACGUGUAUACCCUACCUAUAAGACUGAUAUAACUUCGGGACACCGGAGCUAAUACCGUAUAAUAUAUUGAACCACGUGGUUCAAUAGUGAAAUACGGUUUUGCUGGCUCUUAUAGCUGGUUCCGCGCCGCAUUAGCUAGUUGUUAAGGUAACGGCUUACCAAGGCAACGAUGCGUAGCCGAACUGAGAGGGUGAUCGCCCACACUGGAACUGAGACACGGUCCAGACUCCUACGGGAGGCAGCAGUAGGGAAUCUUCCGCAAAGGGCGAAAGCCUGACGGAGCAACGCCGCGUGAGUGAUGAAGGUCCUCGGAUCGUAAAACUCUGUUAUUAGGGAAGAACAAAUGUGUAAGUAACUAUGCACGUCUUGACGGUAACUAAUAAGAAAGCCACGGCUAACUACGUG